rnacentral:misc_RNA from 1 species
GAUGAAGAACGUAGCGAAAUGCGAUACGUAGUGUGAAUUGCAGAAUUCAGUGAAUCAUCGAAUCUUUGAACGCACAUUGCGCCCCCUGGUAUUCCGGGGGGCAUGCCUGUUCGAGCGUCAUUACAACCCUCAAGCUCUGCUUGGUAUUGGGCCCCGCCAGUUCUGGCGGGCCCUAAAGUCAGUGGCGGUGCCUUCCGGCUCCGAGCGUAGUAAUUCUUCUCGCUCUGGAGACCCGGUUGUGUGCUUGCCAACAACCCCCAAUUUUUUAAGGUUGACCUCGGAUCAGGUAGGGAUACCCGCUGAACUUAAGCAUAUCAAUAAGCGGAGGA